UGGGGACUGACCAUAUUCCUCCUAUCAUUUGUUGGAACCAAGUCACAAGCUUAUCUCUUCGAGUUCCUCCUUGCUCGAUUCCAAAUAGAAGGGAGCAAAUGACAUCGAACGAUAGCUUCUUCAUUAAGGAGUUCUGCUAUACAUCGAUCUCCCAAAAUCAUCUUCAGAGACGUUGUUUGACUGUAGGAGAUCGUGCUACUAUCGCUGGUGAAUACAAACUUUUUGCUUCAUUUCCAUAUAUGAAAACAGUUGGUUUGCCAAAGAGGGUCAGCUUUGAUAUUGAGCCAUAUUUUUGUAUCCUUUCGUGAAGCCAUUUUUCUGCAGUAUUGGUUCUCAUUGCUUUGAGAAACUGCAGGCUAUGGCCUAUUAUGGGAAUCCCCAGUGAACCUGGAGGUAGUUUGUUGGAUGAUUUUCUUCCCUUGACAAGAAGAAGGAAGAUGGGGACAAGGAACAAGAAAAUGGUGAAGAAUGCAUUCAUUUCUUCUUCUUCUUUUCUUUGGGCUGUGUGGGUGUAUGUGUUAGGAAAGGGCUUCUGCAAGCUGCUGAUGUAGUAGGUUUAGAGAUUGGGUAAGUCAACUAAAUAGGAGUGCUCAGGGGACAAAUUAUGUAUGAGGAUUCAGAUUGUAAUCUUUGAGAUUUUGACCCAGAUAGGGCUCUUUAGACCUACAAAAGAUUGACGUGGACGGGUUUUUUGGCUGAUCUUACCGACCAGCAACAAAUUAGUGAUCUUGAUUAUAAUGAUAAUAAAAGAUGCAUGAACACAUCUGCAUUAUUGAUUUCA